GCCACUCAAGCCAUCCCACGGCCUCCGACGACGCCCCGGCCUCCGAUUGCGACGGAGAGGGGACACCGCGACGGCACCAGGUAAGAUCCUCUCCCCUUUUUUAUAUUUUAACCGAAAAGAAAUAAAAAAAUAAAAAGAAAAAAGAAAAUCCUUCCUAGGAAUAAUGAACACCCAAGAAUAAAACGAAAACAAAAAAUUCACCUUUAGUAUUCAAAAGAUUUCUCUCUGUUUUCGUAUCUCUUUUACACUGAAAAAAUCCCCCC
rnacentral:lncRNA from 1 species